rnacentral:rRNA from 1 species
CAGCAGCCGCGGUAAAACGGAGGGUGCAAGCGUUAAUCGGAAUUACUGGGCGUAAAGCGCACGCAGGCGGUCUGACAAGUCAGAUGUGAAAUCCCCGGGCUUAACCUGGGAACUGCAUUUGAAACUGUCAGGCUGGAGUCUUGUAGAGGGGGGUAGAAUUCCAGGUGUAGCGGUGAAAUGCGUAGAGAUCUGGAGGAAUACCGGUGGCGAAGGCGGCCCCCUGGACAAAGACUGACGCUCAGGUGCGAAAGCGUGGGGAGCAAACAGGAUUAGAUACCCGGGUAGUCCCUGUCUCUUAUAA